rnacentral:rRNA from 1 species
GAUGAACGCUGGCGGCGUGCCUAAUACAUGCCAGUCGAGCGAACAGAUGAGGAGCUUGCUCCUCUGACGUUAGCGGCGGACGGGUGAGUAACACGUGGAUAACCUACCUAUAAGACUGGGAUAACUUCGGGAAACCGGAGCUAAUACCGGAUAAUAUAUUGAACCGCGUGGUUCAAUAGUGAAAGACGGUUUUGCUGUCACUUAUAGAUGGAUCCGCGCCGCAUUAGCUAGUUGGUAAGGUAACGGCUUACCAAGGCAACGAUGCGUAGCCGACCUGAGAGGGUGAUCGGCCACACUGGAACUGAGACACGGUCCAGACUCCUACGGGAGGCAGCAGUAGGGAAUCUUCCGCAAUGGGCGAAAGCCUGACGGAGCAACGCCGCGUGAGUGAUGAAGGUCUUCGGAUCGUAAAACUCUGUUAUUAGGGAAGAACAAAUGUGUAAGUAACUAUGCACGUCUUGACGGUACCUAAUCAGAAAGCCACGGCUAACUACGUG